CCUACGGGGCGCAGCAGUGGGGAAUAUUGCGCAAUGGGGGAAACCCUGACGCAGCAACGCCGCGUGAGUGAAGACGUAUCUCGGUAUGUAAAGCUCUAUCAGCGGGGAAGAAGGAAGACGGUACCCGACUAAGAAGCCCCGGCUAACUACGUGCCAGCAGCCGCGGUAAUACGUAGGGGGCAAGCGUUAUCCGGAUUUACUGGGUGUAAAGGGAGCGUAGACGGCAGCGCAAGUCUGGAGUGAAAUGCCGGGGCCCAACCCCGGAACUGCUUUGGAAACUGUGCGGCUCGAGUGCGGGAGAGGUA
rnacentral:rRNA from 1 species